rfam:Cavia porcellus supercont2_84 genomic scaffold, whole genome shotgun sequence.
GCAGUGCACUACUUGGAAAGGUGCCAUUCAAUAAAUUACAUUAUGAAGUGCGCCUUCCUGAGUAGAGUAACGCU